rnacentral:lncRNA from 1 species
AUUUUCCAUUACGGCCCAGAGUUAUUUCUUUUCCAUUUAGAGCCUAGGGCUCUCGACCUAGAGUCGUUUUCCAUCUUGACCCAGAGUCAUUCUUUCCGAUUAGAGCCCUGAGCUCAUGACCCAGAGUCUUUUAUCCUAUUUUAGAUCCAGAGUCGUUCACCUUGUCCAUGAUCCAGAGUCAUUCAUGUCAUCUAUGACUUUGAAUCAUCCUUUUCACCUCUUUCCAUC